rnacentral:rRNA from 1 species
UACGGGGGGGGCAAGCGUUGUUCGGAAUUACUGGGCGUAAAGGGCUCGUAGGCGGCCAACUAAGUCAGACGUGAAAUCCCUCGGCUUAACCGGGGAACUGCGUCUGAUACUGGAUGGCUCGAGUUUGGGAGAGGGAUGCGGAAUUCCAGGUGUAGCGGUGAAAUGCGUAGAUAUCUGGAGGAACACCGGUGGCGGAGGCGGCAUCCUGGACCAACACUGACGCUGAUGAACGAAAGCCAGGGGAGCAAACGGG